AAAAUAGAAUAAUAGGACACUGGCACAAGCUUUAUUUUUAACAAGAUAAACCAAGGUACUGACUCUGUUUUCCUCGACUCCAGGUGUUCCUGCUAAAGAGAAAAUUACUUGCAGAGGAUCAGAACAACAACAAAAUUCAGUCUUAAAUCUGAAACUCCCUGAGGAGAACACAAGAAAUAGAAGUGUGAUUUUAGUACUACCUGAUAACUGGGGCAUCUUUUGAUUUUUAAAGCCAGAAUUUCUUGUUUCAUUUGAAUAGUCCAUUUAGGACUAAUGGAUCCAGGUAUCAGACCUCAAUCCUCGUGAGCAGUUUUAGCAUUACCAUUUAAUUCUUGCAAUACUUUUAGCUACCUUUUGUUUGCUUUCUUGUCUUACCAUUACUUUCGUUUCUCACAAGCAAGUUAAAACCAGUGCCCUUGAUGUCUGUCCUGGCUUUAGCAGUAUCUUGUCUGACUGAGUUGAGAGUAUAAUUGCUGGGAUAACUGGGAAUUUGUGCAUUUAUUCAUUUGGGUGUACAUAUUGUGGAAGGGGAGAGGUCUUUAGCAUAAUUAAGCAUUAAGUUUAAUAAUUUAAGUGUGGAUUUGAACAGUCCUUAGUGUUGCUAAUGGUACGUUUAUUCUAAAUGCUAGCAAGAAUUCCAUAAUUCCAA